ensembl:snoRNA
CAGCAUGUUUCCAAGGGCUGUGGCUUGUCGUGGCCAUGGGAUCUCCAACUGCAUGCGAGAGCAACGUGGAGAGACUUUGACAGCACAGGUUAGCAUAAUACCUGCAGCUGCCACUCGCCUCUCCUAUAAUC